ensembl:lncRNA
GGGGAAUAUGAUAGCAAGGAAAAUGAUAGAGAUGAACAUGAUAGAGGGGAAUAUGAUAUAGAUGAUUAUGAUAGAGGCGAAUAUGAUGUAGAGGGGAAUAUGAAUGAGAGGAAUAUGAUAUAGGGGAAUAUGAUAGAGGGAAUAUGAUAGGGAGGAAUAUGAUACAGGGGAAUAUGAUAGAGGGAAUAUGAUUGAGAGGAAUAUGAUAUUGGGAAAAUGAUAGAGAGGAUCAUGAUAGAGGGGAAUAUGAUAGAGGGAAAAUGAUAGAGGGGAAUAUGAUAGAGGGAUUAUGAUAGAGGCGAAUAUGAUAGAGGGAAUAUGAUAGAGGGAAUAUGAUAGAGGGGAAUAUGAUAGAAGGAAUAUGAUAGAGAGGAAUAUGAUAGAGAGGAAUAUGAUAGAGGGGAAUAUAAUUCCCAGAAUAUGAUGGAAGGGAAUAUGAUAGAGGGAAUAUGAUGGAAGGGAAUAUGAUAGAGGGGAAUAUGAUAGAGGGAAUAUGAUAAGUGACGAUUUUAGUUUGUAUAUCUUGGUGGGGCAAAGAAAAGAAAAAAUGUUGGAUGCAUGCCAACAAAACCACUACACAAUACAACACUAAACAAUACAUUAAUUGCACUAACGGUGAAAGAUGGUGCCCACAUACUGUUAGAGCCUACAUAAAGCUGUCCCAACAGCUGAGUCCCAACAUCAGUACAACUGCUGCACCUGGCUAUCAGCAAAGCCUUGUCUGGUAGUGGAAUAGUUCAUUCAUUCGGUGAGGCACAUGGUCUGCUAACAGCUUACUUUCUUAGCUACAGUAUAUAUAUCUCUCUGCCAUAUUACGUCAUUUAUGCAGCAGCAUACAAUACAUUUUUGGACUCACCUUGUUGUGCUGUGCUCACUUGAACAGGAAGGUGGUGCGGCUGUCCAUCGUGGGAAAAUUUUGUCAGCAUACUUUGUUAUCAAAGUCUGGUAUCCUCUGGAUUCAUGGUGCUUUCAAGAAAACUGGGAACUCAACAACAACAAAAAAGCUUGAAUCAUGAUGACGUCAGUGAUCUUCAGGUCGUAGCUCUAGAAUGAGGCCUGAGUUCGAAUGUACAAUUCUGAGCUGGAUGAAAGUUCAAAGCGUAUUUUCCCAGUCGUAGCUCAUUUUUCCCGAGUUCCCAGAUGUCUUGAACUUACUAAAGUCAGAUUUUGCAGUUCCGAGUUAACAGUUGUUUUGAG